CCAGUAUCCCGUCGGCCCCUCGGCGUCGGACCUCCCACGGGUAUCCUCCAGUAUCCCGUCGGCCCCCGGAGGUGGGCGCCUUCACACCGGAGCGGGAGGAUCCGUCGGCGACGGUCGUGGGGGGAAUAAGGGGAACCCGGGCUGACAGAGGGACUUCAGUCGGGAACGUAGCCCCCAGGUUGAUGGAAAAAACUGGCAUCAACUGUAUGGAGCCUGAGAGAACAUGCGUCCUCAAGAUCAGAAUAAACAACAUUAUUUUACUUCUCAUGCAACCAAAGUAUGUCACAGAGGGAGGUGAUGUGGCUACAUCUUCCUGGUUCUCAGGUUAACAGUCACUCACCAAAGUACACCACUGUGUGUCCAAUUAAACAGUAUUGGAGAAUAUGAACGGUAGUCAUACAAUGAAGGUAGAAGAUACAGGAGCCUGAGGGCACGUACCACCAGGCUUAAGGACAGCUUCUCCCCCACUGUGAUAAGACUACUGAACAAUGAGAUGGACUCUGACCUCACGAUCUACCUUGUUGUGACCUUGCACCUUAUUGCACUGCACUUUCUCUGUAGCUGUGACACUUUACUCUGUACUGUUAUUGUUUUUACCUGUACUACAUCAAUGCACUCUGUACUGACCCAAUGUAACUGUACUGUGUAAUAAAUUGA